CCUACGGGGGGCUGCAGUGGGGAAUUUUGCGCAAUGGGCGAAAGCCUGACGCAGCAACGCCGCGUGGGUGAUGAAGGUCUUCGGAUCGUAAAACCCUGUCGUUGGGGACGAAGGUGGGGGCGUUAAUAGCGUUUCUGCUUGACGGUACCCGGAGAGGAAGCCCCGGCUAACUCUGUGCCAGCAGCCGCGGUAAUACAGAGGGGGCAUGCUGGAUUCGGAAUGCUUGGGCGUAAAGGGCGAGUAGGCGGGUGUAAGCACCGAGCUCAACUUGGGAACUGCAUCUGAGACUGGAAGGCUAGAGUACUGGAGAGGGUGGUGGAAUUCCUCGUGUAGCGGUGAAAUGCGUAGAGAUGAGGAGGAACACCAGUGGCGAAGGCGGCCACCUGGACAGUAACUGACGCUGAGGCGCGAAAGUGUGGGUAGCAAACAGGAUUAGAUACCCCGGUAGUC
rnacentral:rRNA from 1 species